GGCGCCUACCCGCUCGCUUCCGUCCCCGACUCCCCCUCCCUCCCCAUCCUAUUCGCUCCGCCGCACCACCCACCCCAUCGCCCGCCUCGCGGAAUCCUCUCGUCUCCCGCCGCCGCCGCCACCGCCACCGCCACCGCCACCCCGGCCGGAGGCCACGCGCCCCACGCGGCCGCUCGAACCCGAGGUCAGAUCCAAACCCCAGCCCCGGGACCGAAUCGCGCCGCAGUUUUUCUAGGUUUUGGUACGGAUCUAGGGUUGGCCGCGGAAUUCCGGGGGCGGGGGCUAUUCGCUCGGAUUCCUCCGCGGCUCGGAUUUCGCGCUCAUGGCCGCCGGGCGCCACGGAGGGUACCGGGACUACGAGGCCAGGGAGCGGGAGCCCGACGCCGAGGCCGCCAGGAGGAGCCAGAGCCUCGGCGGCCGCCACCGGAGCGACGCCGACCGCCGCCGCGACGGCGUGCGCAGCAGCGGUGGCAGGGAAUUCUCAAACGGCUAUGGCCACCGCCGCUCGCACCCGCCCAAAAGCCGCCUCUCCACCAGGCUUGGGGACCGGGAGCCCGGCGAGGUGCUCAGCGGGAGCGCGUCAGACGACUCUGGUGGGAGGUCAGGCAGAGCGGCAGGGGAGAAUACCAUGUCCAGUUCUAGCAGGGAGGGUGAGGUGGCCGUGGGGGCGCCUGCUGCCCCUUCGCCCAGCAAAAAGAGGAAAUUUUCGCCGAUAAUUUGGGACAGGGAUAGCCCAAAGCCGCCGUCGUUACAUUCUGGUACAGUGACUCUGAAGGGAGUGGUGGAUUCCGCUUCUGCUGAUACAGCAAGUGACAAGAAAGUGGUGGAGUCCUCCUCUGCUCAACUCCCUCCCCCUCCCCCGCUGCCACCACAGGGGCACAUCCCAGAGAGGUUGGUCGUGGACAAUUCACCAAUGGAUGUGGACCUUGCCGUUGACACUGACAACACUGAGCAGUUGCACGUGCUGCAGGAUAGUAAAGUGCUUGAGGUAGAGGAGAGUAAAGUGAAGGAGGAAGAGGAGAGUAAAGUAAAGGAGGAAGAGGAGUACCCAACAAUGCGGAACAUAUCAACUUCAAGGUGGGCAGGUGCUAACGAUGACGACGAGGAGGGUGUAACACUGAGGAAGAAGAAAGUCUUAUCUCCUGCAGAUUCCGCUGAGCUGGGGCAGGGUAAGAAGACUCCUACACCAGAACUUGGGGAGGUUGUGACCAGUGAUAUGUCUGGACGGAGGACCAUGUCAAGGUCAUCUGAUUCAGGGAGAAUGGGUAACGAUGAGAAGGAAGAUUUGGAAUUAGGUAAAGGUGACUACAUGGAUGUUGAUAGAGGGGAGGCUAGUGUUAAUGGUUCAGCUAAUCUUCUAUCUUCUGAUUCGGAGGAUGAAGUGCGCAGGUCUGAAACCCCUGAGCCAGUGAAGCCGGCUCAUCGAUGUAUCAAUAUGCUGCAAGGUUGCAGAAGUGUUGAUGUGUUUGAGAGGCUCAACAAGAUUAAUGAAGGCACCUAUGGUGUUGUAUAUCGAGCAAAGGAUAAGAAGACUGCUGAGAUUGUUGCAUUGAAGAAGGUCAAGAUGGAAAAGGAGAGAGAAGGUUUCCCGUUGACCUCUCUUAGGGAAAUCAACAUCCUUUUAUCUUUCCAUCACCCUUCAAUUGUUGACGUUAAGGAAGUAGUAGUUGGCAGUAGUCUUGAUAGUAUUUUUAUGGUGAUGGAGUACAUGGAGCAUGAUCUUAAGGGUGUCAUGGAGACAAUGAAGCAGCCAUAUACCCAAAGUGAGGUCAAAUGCUUAAUGCUUCAGCUAUUAGAGGGUGUAAAAUAUCUUCAUGACAAUUGGGUACUUCAUAGGGAUUUGAAGACUUCAAAUCUAUUGCUGAAUAACCGUGGUGAGUUGAAAAUAUGUGAUUUUGGACUGUCUCGUCAAUAUGGGAGCCCACUAAAACCUUAUACUCAAUUGGUUGUGACUUUGUGGUACAGGUCACCUGAACUAUUGCUAGGAACAAAGGAAUACUCUACUGCUAUUGACAUGUGGUCCGUGGGCUGCAUUAUGGCAGAGCUUCUCGCCAAAGAACCACUGUUCAAUGGGAAAACAGAGUUUGAACAGCUAGACAAGAUAUUUAGAACACUUGGCACACCUAAUGAGAAGAUAUGGCCUGGUUAUGCCAAGUUACCUGGUGUCAAAGUCAACUUUGUUAAACAACCGUACAACAGAUUAAGGGAUAAGUUCCCAGCUGCGUCUUUUUCUGGGCGUCCAAACCUAUCUGAAGCUGGUUUUGAUCUGUUGAAUAAGCUCUUAACUUAUGAUCCUGCGAAGCGUAUAUCAGCUGAGGCUGCAUUGGAGCAUCCAUGGUUCAGUGAAGUACCUCUACCUAAGUCGAAGGACUUCAUGCCAACAUUUCCAGCUCUAAACGAACUGGACAGGCGUACCAGACGGUAUAUGAAGAGUCCUGAUCCUCUAGAGGAGCAACGGUUGAAAGAACUGCAAGCAAAAGGCAACCGUGGCCUUUUCGGCUGAGCUCAAACCGCUUGCUUGGGUUUUGUUCGUACUGACUGCUAUACUUCAACCUGAAUCAGUGAGGUCAGAUGGCUUCUGAGCAGGCUUUGUGCUUAGUGACUUGUGGCCCAUCAUAGAAUUCUGUUCACAGGAUUAGCACUCCGACCAGAUUGAUCAUGAAAGCAGAUCUAACCUGCCUCCAUCGUAAGAAAUGAAAGUGGCGAAGGGGAAGGAUGCCUUUAGCUUUUCUUCAGGAAAUCAUGGACAGUAAUACAACUUGAAAGCUUAAGCUGUGGCUGCUUCAAGAGGAAGCUUGAUGGCCGCCAGCUUGUUGUACCUAAGUGACUAAAUUUUGUGGGAGGUCUUGAAGUGUAUUCAUCUGUUACUUGAGUGAGCCAUAGUGGUCACUGGUCAGUUUACUAUCCUUCCUUGUUUAUUAAUGCACCAUAUUCAUCCAACUGUUUUUUGGGGAUGGUCAUCUGUUAUUUGUUUGCAUGGAGUAUGGUUUUUGUUGAACUUUCAUUUCGUCCUCUCCCAUAUGGCCGACACUUUGUUUUCUAUUUGAAAUAUCUCCUUGACUGAUGUAAAUGCCACAACAUUGGCAUUGUUUACUCACCUCCACGAAAUUGAGGCUAUUUAGAUUAGUGAGGGAGGUCAAAAUUAGGAUGAAAUACUAGUGUUGCGUGCUCUCUGUUCCCCACUUUGGUUAUGGUAGCCUGGUUGUUUUGAUGGGCCACAUUUGGAACAAACGUUUGGCAUGCUCUUUGGGGAUGCUUAACUGCUUAUGGUUCUCGAUGUUCUUGUAGUAGUGUUUUCUUGUCAUGGGUUUACAUGAGCUGCCCUUGCCACUACAAAUGUUCAAUUGCUACUUGCCACUUCAUUCUGUAUGACGUUGGUGAUUCGGAGUUUUGCGUUGUCGAAUGUGAUGAUCAAUUUCUUGCCCAUUUGUUUGCCUCUUAUUUUAGUUUCAGUUCUUGCGGAAGAUAUAUCAGCCCAUCAGCAGGCUUGAGUAUGUUUUUGCGAUAUAAACAUCUGCGUAGUUGCAGUGGUGUCGGCGCGCAGAAUAGAAAGAUUGCAGUGGUAACUACGGUCUAUUCCCUCUGUUCGCAAAUAUAAGAUGUUUUACAUAUUUCAAUAUGGACUGAAAUGAAUGAACAAAGACACUAAAAUGUGUCUAUAUACUUGAAUCAGAAAAUGGUUAGAACAUCUCAGGACCGGAAUUGAAUUACUGACAGAGGGAGUACAUUAUAACCUAUGUUGGUAACUGAGAACUCGUAGAGUGGGGUUUUUGUUGGUGGCUACACAUUGAAACUUUUUAUUUGUUUGAGUUGACAAAGUUUUGUAGCACUGUUUUUUUGUUGCCUGGACCUCACGAAUGCCAUUACAUCACGACUAGGACAAGUAAUAUGGAUCGGAGGGAGUAGUAGAAAACAAAGCAACAUUUGUUGGCAAUGUUUUAGGAAGUUUUUUUUUUGGAUUUCACUGCUUAUCCAAUGUGCAUGUGUUCCCGGGAUCAGAGUUGCACUUCUGAGGCUCGUCACUUUAUGGAAGAGCAGGAUGCUUCUUCUAGCAUUUACACCCGACCUCAUGCUCCUGGUGAACAGUAAAAUCAUGAAAAAUAGAAAAAAAAAAGAAAAAAACUUAUGUUUUUUUUGUGUUAACCUUGGACAAAAUGUUCUACUCCCUCUUCCCUGUAAUAUAAGAACGAGAAAAGGUUCUUAUAUUAUGGGACGGAGGGAGUAUUGCUUGCAAAAAUUUAUCAGGAACGAGCAUUCCUGGAAGUUGUGGCAAAAAGAACAAAAUCGACAUUCCAAAACUGCUAUUUUUGAAAUUAUUUUGGAGUAUUGAUUUUUUUUUUGCCAUGACUUCCAUUUUGUGAUGAAAAUUUGCAAGGGUAGAAAUAUUUUGUCAAAGGUUACCAAAAAAAUUCAGCACUUAAAAAAAUCAUUUUCUUUUGGUUUUACUGUUUGGCUCAUUUGAGCUUGCGAGCAGAAGAAUGCUUUCGGCUUCUUUACUUUUACUAGUCCGUGAUAUAAGGGCCUCUUUGAUUCGCAGGAUUUUAAAAAUGUAGGAAUAAAAAAAGUAUAGGAUUGGGGUGGCAUGCCAAAUUAAAUCCUAUAAGAUUAGCAAGGAGUGUUUGAUGCCAUAUGGAAAACAAAAGGAAUUAUAAAAAAAGAUUGGAGUGGAUGUUAGAAUUUUCAUGAAAUGUAGUAUAAAAGAUCCAAUAGGAAAAAUUUCUAUGGUAUCUAAUCCUAUGAAUCAAAGGACCAACAUAGGAAAAAUUUCUAAGGAUUUCAAUCGUUCAGAAAUCCUAUAGAAUUCCUUUGAAUCAAAGGAGCCCUAAAUAGUUCUCUUGUAUAACAAGCAGCCUGAUAUCGGUCUCCUCGCUGGACGUGAACUGCCAUAGUGCCAUUCCGUGUCUUUGUUGCACUCCCCGCUGAACCAUGGGUUCGAGUCUUCUGGAUUGCCAUAGUUGAGUAAUCUUGUUGCUCACCACCCAUUGGCGUGGGCUUGUGUAGACUCCAUUAUUUGCAGGUCGACGGGGAUAUGACCAAGCAAGGAGCACGGGAUGACUCAAGCAAUACUACUCCGCUGCAGCGCACACUCGAUGUGAUAUUAUUAAUGUACAAAUGUAAAUAGCUCGUUAAUUAGUUAAGAUAAUCAAAUACUUCCAUGGGUGCAUAUAUAUGUUACUGAAAGAACGUUUCACGGUGAGACAGUAAAAUGUGGUCGUUGGGCGGUGCACGCUCCCCAGAACCACAGUGUUUCUCGCCGACA